GGAGACAUAGCUCAGCCGGGAGAGCACUUGCAUCACACGCAAGGGGUCAGGGGUUCGAGCCCCCUUGCCUCCA
rnacentral:tRNA from 1 species